rnacentral:sRNA from 1 species
AGGAAACUGCUGGCUUGAAGGUAGGGGUUUCUAGCCGCAUCAAUGAAUGGCUAACUAAAACCCCAGAUGGAAACAAGUCACCUGCUCCCAAACCUUCUGACUUGAGACCAGGAGACGUAUCCAGCAAGCGGAACCUCUGGGAAAAGCAGUCUGUGGAUAAGGUCACUUCCCCCACUAAGGUAAUCUAUUGGGAAGACUAGUAUUUCAGAGGUUUGUUUUCCUGAUAUAUG